rnacentral:rRNA from 1 species
UACGUAGGGGGCAAGCGUUGUCCGGAUUUAUUGGGCGUAAAGAGCGUGUAGGCGGGUCUUUAAGUCAGGGGUGAAAUCCUGGAGCUCAACUCCAGAACUGCCUUUGAUACUGAAGAUCUUGAGUUCGGGAGAGGUGAGUGGAACUGCGAGUGUAGAGGUGAAAUUCGUAGAUAUUCGGAAGAACACCAGUGGCGAAGGCGGCUCACUGGCCCGGUACUGACGCUGAUGUGCGAAAGCGUGGGGAGCAAACAGG